AUUGAACGCUGGCGGCAAGCCUAACACAUGCAAGUCGAACGAGUGGCGGACGGGUGAGUAAUGUCUGGGAAACUGCCUGAUCGAGGGGGAUAAAUACUGGAAACGGUAGCUAAUACCGCAUACCAUCGGAUGUGCCCAGAUGGGAUUAGCUAGUGGGUGGGGUAAAGGCUAACCUAGGCGACGAUCCCUAGCUGGUCUGAGAGGAUGACCAGCCACACUGGAACGGUGACACGGUCCGGAUUCCUACGGGAGGCAUAAUGGGGGAAUAUUGGACAAUGGGCGAAAGCCUGAUGCAGCAAGGCGGCGGAUAUGAAGAAGGCUUUGGGGUUGUAAAGUACUUUCAGCGGGGAGGCGUUACCCGCAGAAGAAGCACCGGCUAACUCCGUGCCAGCAGCCGCGGUAAUAC
rnacentral:rRNA from 1 species